AUAUAAAGUUUAAUAAAGGUAAAUUUAAACUUCACGACGGAGAUGGUUAUUCGUUAUGGCAUUUAAAGUUUAUGAAGAAAUAAUCAUUAAUGAAGUUUGAUGAAAUGAAAAAAUGGCAACGUUGUUAAAUGAUGAUGAAAAACGAUGGUGUGUUUAUGGAAUCGUACUUAAUCAUGUUUUGAUACCAGCUGUUCGACCUUACCUGGAAAAUAAUAUUUUAAAUGAGUAUGAUGAAUUAAAGAAAUCUCAUAAUAUUAAUGUUCAAAAGAUUCACAACUUUCCUUCAUCAAAAUAUUCCCACAAUCUACAUUAUAAAAAUAUCAACAAUAAUGAAGCAAAGGAUAAGAAGAAAUUCAACUAUGAAGUUAAGUCACAUGUCGACUUUGGAAAACUUUUCCUUCUAAGUCACAUGACAAAGUUUAACAGUUACGACAGUUGUGACGCAUCAGCAGUGCUUAAUUUACUAGAAAGGAUCCCAAUUUUUUCCAACCUGGUCCAGAAUGUGGCAAAAAUUGUUAGAGACGAUAGAAAUUCUUGGGGUCACUGCAAUUUUGAGGAAUGGAACGAAACAGAUUUUCAAAAGAAAAUCGACAAUAUGAAGAUACUUGUGAAAGAAUUGUGUUUAGCAACUGAAGAUGAAGUUUUGAAUGAUAUAAAUCAUUGGAAAGAUCAAGCUUUGACAUUGUGGACAAACGAUCGUACUUUAUGUGAAGAGUUAAAAGAUCACAUUAACAGACUUCUAAAAGAAGUUGAAGAAACGAAAUUUGAAAACGAAGAGUCCAAAAAGUUAGCGCAAGAUACGCUUGACAAAUUUUCGAAUUGCAUUGAUCAGUUAAAAAGACGUGUUGAGAAAGUUGAAGACAAAGUUGAGAAAGUUGAAGACAAAGUUGAGAAAGUUAAAGACACAGUUGAUCAACUUAAUCAAAGCAAUAUUAAUGAUUUCGCCAUUUGUGACCGCGAUAUCAAUUUACACUACCAAAAAUUUGAUCCAAAACAAGAAAAUGGUUGAUCAACGAUUUCUCUGCUUGGUUCGAUGAACCUGGAGAAUCAAGAGCUUUUGUAUUUAUGGGAGAUGCUGGAGUUGGUAAAACAGUUAUGUCAGCUGCUAUCGCUCAACGCGCUAAGGAUGAUGGGAAGUUAGGAGCAACAUUCUUUUGUAGACAUUAUGAUGGUACACGUCGUGAUCCAAGAUCUCUCCUGGCCAGUGUUGCUUAUCAGUUAGACUCGUCCUUGAUUCUAUUUUGCACCAAUAACAAGGAUUCUUGUCGUCAAAAAAUUUACGUCUGGUUUGUGAAAGACAAAGUUUUAAGGCCUUUUUUUUCUGAAAAUGAUUGGAUAGAAGUAGACACUUGUUGUUCUUCCAGGUAUAACAGCAUAAUCAUCUUGUGUAGAGGAACAUCAAUUUGGAUAUACGACUAUGACUAUGAUAAAAAUAUAGCCAGUGAACCAACCACGCGUUCAUUUCAAUCAGGUAGUAAACACGAGAAGUGUAGCCAUUGUAUUCUGUCGUCUGACGACAAAAUGUUAGCUUGUUGUGUAGAAAAUAAAAUAAUUUUUUAUGAGUUGCUAAAUGCUCCUGAAAAAGCAUCUCAAUUUAAGCAUUCAUGCAUGGUUAAGUGUUGCUAUUUUAUGGGAGGAAACAAAUAUGUUUUGUUUCAAGAUAUUGCAGGUUACAUGUUCAUGUUUGAUCUGACUCAAUGGAAACUUGUAACAUCCUUUAAAGCUGAAGCUUCAGUUAAAAUUUUUAAACUUACUGAUUACAAAAUAACUUGUAUUCAACCAAAUGGUAAAAUCAAUGUUCUCGCUAUUGACGGUUUAAACGAUUGGUCAGGCAAGGUACAAUCUACCUUAUAAUUUGGAUGUGACGACUUUGCAUUAUCUAUAAUCAAUUACAGUGAUGAUGAUGACGAUUAUUGCGAUUAUAGUGAAUUUUGGCAAUCUGAAAGUAAUGAAAGUGAUGAUGAAAUGGUUUAACAAUGUAGCUUGUAAUUUAUGUGUGUUGUUAAUUUCACUAAUAGU